UGGUAAAAUAAAAAUAAGAAAAAUAAAAGGAAAAAAAGAAGACGGAGCUUGUGUCCCAACUCCCAAGCGGCAACUCUGCGCACUUUGAAGGGCAGCUCAAAAAGCCUAUUCUCUACCGUGGAUAUCAUCCCCCACAUUUUGGCCGAUAAAACCCAUCGCGGACUUCAAUAGCAGUCGAUCAUGCUUUUGCUUUUGGGUUUCAUGUGCGGUGUGCGGACACUGAAGUGAGUUGUGUCGAUUCAAUUUAGCCCAAAGAGGUAGGGUCUAUCUUCUAUUACUAUUAUUAACCGUGUCUGUGCGUUUGGUCAUGCAGUCAGUUCUUUAUUUCUUCGUCUGUUUCUGCUCAUUUGGGUAUCAAUAACUUUGUAGAGCUUGUUGUUGGUGUUGGGUUUGGAGAUUUUGAUUGAUUAGUACUAUGUAAAGUGGUAAAGUGGUUUUAGGGUUUUGUAUAUUUGUUAAAGGGUUUAGUAUAAUAGUGGGAGAUGGGUUGCGCUGAUGAAAGUGGAACUGCUAGUAAGCGGGGCUUCAAUCUGCUUUUAGAGUGAAAUCGCAGAACCAGUCGGAUAUGCAAAAUUUCAAUGCGUCUCAGAUGGGGUUUCCUGUUCGUCAACUACCGCAAAAUUUGAGUCCUGGAGGCAGUGAGAAUGAUAACCAGAGACCUGGUAUACCACCCUCACACACGAUUAACCCUGCUUCUCUGCUUCAAUACUCGCAGUUUAUCGGGUCCUCGCCGUCUUCUGGGCAAUGGGGUUCCCAGAAUUUGAGCCCGGGGGUUUCCCAUUCUAGGUCUUUGUCUCAACCUACGUUUUCUGCGCUUGAUAGCUUGUUGCCCCCUUUGAGCCCUUUGCCUUAUUCUGAACCUUCGACGAGCUCGCUCUCUGACCCAAUUACCAUGGAUGUGUCUAUGGAAGAAAGUGCUGUUAAUUCUCAUGCCUUAUCACUUCCUUCGCCCAUAAACGGAGGUAAUGCAUUUCAGGUUGGUGAGGGCCUUCCUCCUCGUAGAGGACACCGGCGCUCCAAUAGUGAUGGUAUUCCAUUAGGAUUCUCAACCAUGAUUCAAUCUUCACCUCAGUUGACUCCCAUUGGGGGUUGGGGAGUUUUGGAUCAGUCUAUUUCUGGAAGCGAGAAUUCAGGGGUGGACAAGCCAAUCCAGUUGGUGUUGAAGGGGGAAUUGAAGAGGCAUAGUGAUGGCAAUAACAUUGCCAAUGGGAAAGGUGAGGGAAUAUCUGAGGGAGUAGUUCUGGAUGACUUGUUUAAUGAAUUUAUGAAUUUGGAAAACAUUGAUAAUAUGAACUCACAUGGUACUGAGGAAAAGGAUAUGGAUAGUAGAGCCAAUGGCCCGAAUAUGAAGGGAUGUGAUGGCAGUGAUAAUGAAGUGAAAAGUCGCAAGAAUGACUAUCUAAACUGUGUGCAGUGGUCAAGCUCAAGUUUUGCUGAUGAGAAGAGAGAAGGAAAAAGAAUUGCUUGUGGAGACACGAAGCCUACUGUCCGACACUCGAGAAGUGUUUCAAUCGAUAGUUAUAUGGGAAAUUUGCAUUUUGAUGACGAAUCACCAAAGCUCCCACCUAUAGGAACUCGAGUGGGUCAACAAUCACCUAGCAAUGCACCAGAGGGGAACUCAACUAAGUACUGCAUGGGGUUUGGAAAUGGUCAUUUUAAUGAGGCUGAGCUGGAAAAGAUCAGGGAAAAUGCGAAACUGGCUGAGAUUGCACUAUCAGACCCCAAACGUGCCAAGAGGGUUUUGGCUAAUCGUAUGUCAGCUGCUCGUUCCAAGGAUCGGAAGACGCGAUACACCACAGACAUAGAACACAAGGCACAAAUUCUACAGACAGAGAACACCACCUUGUCAAUCGAGGUUACAAAGUUACAGAGAGAGUCUACAGAACUUAAGAGUGAGAAUAAUGAAUUGAGAUUCCGCCUUCAGGCCAUGGAACAAGAGUCGAAACUCAAAAAUGCUUUAGAGGAGGCCUUGAGGGCUGAAGUCCAGCAUUUAAGGCUUAGUGUGGUAAAGUGUGGUGGGGAGGGCUACCUCGUGCACUGCAUGGCUCAGCAGCUUUCCAUUGAUGAACAGAUGUUCCAGCUGCAGCAUCCGCAGGUUAACCAUUCGACAUGGGAGCAACAUGUACUGCCACAGCUGCCUCAUCCUGAUGGACUAGAGCCCCAGCAAGAGAAUGGUGAUGUUGCUCAGCAAGAGGCAAAUGCAUAGGUUGCUUAACUGCUAGCAUCAAUACAAAGUUACAAAACUGCAUUGGGUGUCUCAACUCCAUUUGAAAUAAAGAUUCAUUGAUUGAUUCAUGAGCAACGUGGAAGCUGGGAUUGAUUCAGAUUGGGGAUGGCAAUGGCAUACAGCGCGGCGUAGGACUCCCAUCAUGUGCUGGGGGGGUUGCCAGAUGAGAAAGCCAACUGCCAUGUCCGGACAAAUAAUAUGUCAAAAAAUGGGGUUGGUUUCUGGUUGGAUGUGCUCACCUUACUUUAUUAUUAUUAUUUAUUUAUUUAUAAUGUGGUUCAAAUGAGCUUAUCUUUAGUGGUUAGAGACAA